GACGAACGCUGGCGGCGUGCUUAACACAUGCAAGUCGAACGGAAAGGCCCUGCUUUUGUGGGGUGCUCGAGUGGCGAACGGGUGAGUAACACGUGAGUAACCUGCCCUUGACUUUGGGAUAACUUCAUGAAACUGGGGCUAAUACCGGAUAGGAGCUCCUGCUUCAUGGUGGGGGUUGGAAAGUUUCGGCGGUUGGGGAUGGACUCGCGGCUUAUCAGCUUGUUGGUGGGGUAGUGGCUUACCAAGGCUUUGACGGGUAGCCGGCCUGAGAGGGUGACCGGCCACAUUGGGACUGAGAUACGGCACAGACUACUACGGGAGGCAGCAGUGGGGAAGAUUGCACAAUGGGCGGAAGCAUGAUGCAGCAACGCCGCGUGCGGGAUGACGGCAUUCGGGUUGUAAACCGCUUUCGCCUGUGACGAAGCGUGAGUGACGGUAAUGGGUAAAGAAGCACCGGCUAACUACGUG
rnacentral:rRNA from 1 species